UACGAAGGGGGCUAGCGUUGCUCGGAAUCACUGGGCGUAAAGGGCGUGUAGGCGGUCUGUUAAGUCUGAUGUGAAAUCCCCUCGCUCAACGAGGGAACUGCGUCGGAUACUGGCAGACUCGAGUACCGGAGAGGAAGGUGGAAUUCCCGGUGUAGCGGUGAAAUGCGUAGAUAUCAAGAGGAACACCUGAGGUGAAGACGGGUUGCUGGGCUGACACUGACGCUGAGGCGCGAAAGCUAGGGUAGCAAACGGG
rnacentral:rRNA from 1 species